rnacentral:lncRNA from 1 species
AUUCUCCUGCCUCAGCUUCCGGAGCAGCUGGGACUGCUGGCGCCCGCCACUACGCUCGGCUAAUUUUUUUGUGUUUUUAGUAGAGACGGGCUUUCACCGUGUUGGCCUAGCGGUUCUCCAACUCCUGACCUCAUGAUCCCCCCGCCUCAGCCUCCCAAAGUGCUGGGAUUACAAGCGUGAGCCACCGCGACCCGCCAACACUCUUGACAACAGUGCUGUGCUAAGAACUUGGGGGACUUCAAAAAGUUCACCAGUUCCUGUGUCCAUGGGUGAAAAGAUUUUCUACAUCUUUCCUUGACUAGAAACAGAAGUCCUGAAACAAGGUACACCUUCUUGAGGCUUACUUGGUGAGUCUAAUUUGUCUUCUGGCACCACUGUGAAUUUGAAGGCUUACGUCUUCUUCCCUGAUCAUAUGUUUUCUACAUGUCAGGAAUAUAACGUCAGGAGGCCAGAGGCUUUGUCCUGCCUAAUGUGUUAUUUCCACACUGAAUAAAAGCACCUGAGUCCUGGUCUCAGAGUGAGAACAAUGUCUUCUAUGAUGAGUGGCAAACACAACAAGGCAUUUUAAAAAGGUUGUACAUCUAGCAAUACCUAACAAAAUAGGAAAUCAACUUGGAAAGCCAAUGGCUGUGUUUUGAGUUUAUGGAGAGCCAUAUGUGGCAAGGAACUGAGGGUGGCAUCCAGGCAACAGACUUCAAGAAACUGAGGCUGUCAGUCCAACAACCCACAAGAACUGAAUCUGACCAACAAUCACAGGAACAAACUUAGAAGUAUACUCUUUCCCAGACAAACCUUCAGAUGAGACCACAGCCCCAGCCAUAAGCUUGAAAACAAUCUCAUGAGGGACCUUGAGCCACAGGCAUGUAGUAAAGCUAUGCCAGGAAUCCUGCCUGCCCCACAGAAAAUGUAAAAAAAAUAAAUUUUUAUUGUUUUAAGCCA